GCCUUCGUGGUGUAGUGGUCAGCACGUUGGGCUUGUAUUCCAGAGGUCCGGCGAAGGCG
rnacentral:tRNA from 1 species